UAGCUCAGCUGGGAGAGCAUCUGCCUUACAAGCAGAGGGUCGGCGGUUCGAGCCCG
rnacentral:tRNA from 1 species